rnacentral:misc_RNA from 1 species
UCCUAGUUAACCUAGGCAGUCUCGUUAGAGUUCCCGCCUUCACGCGUUGGCAACUAACGAUAAGGGUUGCGCUCGUUGCUGGACUUAACCAAACACCUCACGGCACGAGCUGACGACAGCCAUGCAGCACCUAUAUAGAGACCCUUUCGGGAAAUAACAUCUCUGUUAUCGUCCUCUACAUUUCGAGCCCAGGUAAGGUUCUUCGCGUUGCAUCGAAUUAAACCACAUGCUCCACUGCUUGUGCGGGCCCCCGUCAAUUCUUUUGAGUUUCACCCUUGCGAGCGUACUCCCCAGGCGGCAUAUUUAACGCGUUAGCUCCGGCACGGACAGAAUGAACUGCCCACACCAAAUAUGCAUCGUUUAGGGUGUGGACUAC